AUUGAACGCUGGCGGCAGGCCUAACACAUGCAAGUCGAACGCGUGGCGGGCGGGGGAGUAAUGUCUGGGAAACUGUCCGUGGGAGGGGGGUAACUACUGGAAACGGUAGCUCAUACCGCAUACCAUCGGAUGUGCCCAGAUGGGAUUAGCUUGUAGGUGAGGUAACGGCUCACCUAGGCGACAAUCCCUAGCUGGUCUGAGAGGGUGACCAGCCACACUGGAACUGAUACACGGUCCAGACUCCUACGGGAGGCAGCAGUGGGGAAUAUUGCACAAUGGGCGCAAGCCUGAUGCAGCCAUGCCGCGUGUAUGAAGAAGGCCGUCGGGUUGUAAAGUACUUUCAGCGGGGAGGCGUUACCCGCAGAAGAAGCACCGGCUAACUCCGUGCCAGCAGCCGCGGUAAUAC
rnacentral:rRNA from 1 species